rnacentral:misc_RNA from 1 species
ACGUACGGUUGUCUUGUCGCUUCAAAAGCUGCGGAGGGGCCAAGCACCCCGCUUGCUCGAUCGUUUUCACAAGACCGCAUACUGCUUACAGGGCUGACGGUGAGGCACCCGCCGAAACACUAGCAUCUGCUUUCUUUUUGUUUUUUGGGAGGGGGUUCGAAAUUGGUGGCAGCCUCCCCUCUGCCUACUCUCCCAUUCUCGCCGUGGAAAUGGCCAAGCGCACUGUCAGCGAGUUGGCGGUAGAGAGAGACCAUUGCGGAAAAACCGCCGUCCCCGGUGCGUCCAUUUGUAGUUUGACUGUGGACGACGAAGAUGCGUCUCAAGAUCGCCCUGCCACUGCGCUGGCUCUUUGCGAGGAGACGACCUGGACAGAGGCAGCAGCAGAGGGGGCGCUAAGCGUACCCCUAUCGUGGCCGUUUCUGUGCCCGCUCUGCAGUGCGGUGGAACUUGCCGAUCCGGUAGACCUACACGAGCCAGUGAAGGACACAUUAUCGCCUUCCUCGCUCCAUUCCAAAACCGUCGAUGAGGCAGUUCACUGCCUUGCCUGCCGCGCGUGUGUGGAGCAGUGGCUAUCAGCGGUGCGCGCUUUCAGUGAGGACCAGGCCGAAACGAUGGACCACACCGGCGGCGCCACUGGCGCCACCAUGUUUUCACCUCUGUCGGCCUCUGCGUGUGACUGCGCAACUCUCCUUGCGUGCCCAUUGUGCAAUACGACGUGCGACGCAACGAUUUUGUCGACUUCCGGUCCGAUCGCCGGCGCUGCGCGUGUCCCGGAUGCGAGCGUGGUGCGCAACCGCUACACUGGCUCUCAGCCCCUUUCCUGCAUCACGAGGACCGGUGGCGGCGUCGGGCCCCCGAGCGCACCCGCCGCGUCCGCGUCGCCCUUCUGCUCCAUUUGUGAGGAGGCAAAGGCGAUGUGCGUGUGCCUGCAGUGCGACUUCGGCAUGUGUGACACCUGCCACCGAGCCACACACGCCAAAGGUGGGUUUAGGCAGCACGAAGUGCUGAGCUGUGAACAGGCACGUCGGCGUGCCAACCAGAGGUGCACGCAGCAUGCCGGCAUGGCGCUGGACCUUUUCUGCGACACGUGCUCAACGUGUGUGUGCGUGACGUGCUGCUUCGGUGGGGCUCAUCGCGGGCACGAAGUGUUCCCGCUAGCUGACGUCGUGGCACGCGCUGCCGCUGCGUUGACUCAACACUCCACGGAGCUUGCGGCGUUGCAGCGCGUCGCCGAUGCGACCGGCGUGCAAUUUUCGUCACUGUGGCCUGCGUACGAGGCCAAGGUGGAUGACGUCCGCACCGAAAUCCAGCAGUGCUUCUCCAGUCUGCGCCAAGUUUUGCAGGCGCGUGAGGACGCGUUACUGUCGCGACUCAGCGAGGUGUCGGCGGUGGUCGGUCGCCGCUCGUCGGAGCUCAGGAGUGCCAUGCACGCCAUCAGCAACCUCCUCGGCAGCACGGGAGAGCGCCUGCGACGUCUGCCGGGGUCGGUGAGCCCUGCCACGCUGAUGCGCAUUUUUGAGACGGUGCAAGAGCAGCAGCAGUGGGUUUCCCGUGUUUCUACGCGUGUAAUCGAGGAGGCCACCGCCGUUGCCAAGGGCUGGAGCUAUCACAUAUCCAGUGACGGCGCAAACGGGUGUCGCAUGGCAUCCUUCGUGUUGCUCAACUCCGACACCCCGAAUGAUGAUGGCCUAAGGCAGUACAAACGUGUGCUCGCCGACCUCGGCCGCCUUGACGCAUCGACUGAUGUGCAGCUGCCACUCGCUGAGCAAGGGAGCGCGGGCUCCGUGGGGACGGCAAAAGGGCACGACAACAGGGAGAAGGAGGGCGCGGCGCAUCACCUCUGGGGAGGCAUGGCGGAGGACUGCAUGGAACCCAGCGAUGGCCUCACAAACGACGCACCCGUUGCCCUUUGUGGUGACAGCGACGCCAACUUUGACGCAGUGGCCAACGCCGGGGAGGGAGAGGAGACGCUGCUCGUCCGUCCAUCGCACAUUCGCCCCGCCACCCCUUCGUUACCAGGGCAAGCGGCAGCUUCGCAGUCGAGAGAAGUCUCCAUGGCCUAUCGCGGCAGAGACCGUGGUGAAUCCCGGCAACGCAACCUGAGCGCUUCAACUGUGCAGUCGCAGCCCAAACCACCGCAUCUCUUCUCGAUCGGCGCAUCCACUCAAUCCACCCACGGCCCGCUUCUGACGUACGAGCUAAAUGUGGACCCCUCAGUGAAGGGCGCGGGUGGCGUGACGGGGUCCGCCGCUGAUGCUACUACCGCUUCUGGAACGGCAAGCCUGAAUGGCGUCGCCUCAAAGUGGGGUGAUGUGAAGCAGGCCCUGUGGGAGGUGGGUGGCUGUGGCAGCUUUGCCGCGGAGCUUGGCGCGCUGGGGCGCCAGACGCCGGGGUGCGCAGCAGCAGCACGCGGUGUGCGAGACACAAUACCGUUUCGCGUCGCCCUUCCUCCGCGGCUUAUUGAAAGUCAUGAUCGCAUGGACGACGAUGACCGCUCUGUUGGAGAGGCUGACGACCAGCUGCCGUGGCGUGCUCUAAAGCUGCACCACAACAGCAGUGUCCAGGAUGGCGUCCGGUCCGCUGCGACGUCGUUGCCUCGCCAUGGCUCCACGGCGCGGCUUCAGUACCUUAAAGAGUUGGAUCUGCGAAAGCCAAGCGAAGUCGCGCACGAAGCACUAGACUCGAGUCUCUCUGCUCCAAAGCAGGGACGAGCAGAGUCCCAACGACGAACCACUGGCCUGCAGCUCGAGCUGUAGAUGAAUGACGGUUGCUUUGGCCGCCAAGGGAUAUGGUUGCGUCGUUUGUCUUUCGCGUGUGGGGAUUUUUUUUUCGUUCUCGUUCAUUUAGAUAAGUAGAUGUUUAGACUUGCUGCCCGAUCCUUCUUGCCCUCUCUUUUUUUUUUUUACGCCGCCUCUGCUUCGUGUGAAGCGCUACGUGGAGUGAGUCCUUGUGCGUCUCCUCUCGCUCCUUCUCCUGCACAACGCCAUGGCUUUAAAAGGGUUCCGCACGCGCACCCAUCUCCAUGUCAGUCUUUUCCGCUGUCUCUCGCCACCCUUGACGCUUGCCCUCCCCGGUAGCCUGUCUGUUGCAUUGCGCUGUACAUUCUUCUUUGUAGUUGACGCGGGCGAUCGACACUGGUGGUCUUGUGACAUGGUUUUUUAAUUUUGCUUCCCACGUAGAUCUGUUCACUGCCUCCACCUCCCCCGCUACCAGGGAGCACUGCGAGGCUUUGACUGUUUUCCGCGGCACGCGCAUGCCGUGCUGUGGGGGUGGGUGGGUGGGUGGGCUGUGAAGUAAAUGGUGUGGUGAAGCAAAGAGAAGGGGAAGUUUGUGUGACGGCACGUAGUUCGGGGCACUAGAAGAGACGUGCGACGCUCGACCGUGUGCUCGGUCGCACUCCCGUUAGAGAGACCAACCAUCACCACCACCACCACCAAAAAAGAAAGGUAUGACCCAUCCAGGGUUGCCGAGUGGCUCUCCACCCCAAAUCCCCACGCACUAAACGCUCUUGCACGCUUCGUAAAAAAAAAGAAACUCAGGCGCCUUGCCACGGCUCUGCUCGAUACCGUUAUCAGGGAUUGCUGCGUGAGCUCUGUUAUGCCGUUUCUUCCCCUUUGCG